rnacentral:lncRNA from 1 species
UUAGUUAUCUUAGAGUAAUGUUAUUUUUUAGUCCAACUAAGCCAACCGUAAAUUAUUCUAAUUGAUAAUAGUAAUGUGAAUCCCCCCAGACAAUGGAUCUAAUUGUGCUUCUCGCUCCAAAUUUUCGAUGAUUCAAUUUAUCUUUCUUGGGCAAAACAGAGGAUAUCUCGAUCGGGGGAGAGAACGGUGAAAUCCCAUAUGACCUAAUAUAUCUGACAAGUCGCACUAUACAUCAACCCAAGAUGCAUCUUCCUCUCUAGGACUUCGAAAAGAUACUUUUAG